UUUGCUUUCUUAUGUUUGCAACUUUGUGAC
rnacentral:piRNA from 2 species